UCAUCUGAUUACACCGAUUCUACCACACAAUCUCAGCCACGGGCUCAGGAUGAAGUGGCCUGAAUCCCAGCACCUGUAAUCAGUGCCUUCUGUAGCUAUGUGUCACCCAGCCAGUCUUUGCUGUACUGCAGGGGGUCCCCACAUCAAUCUUACUGCAGCAAAUGGGAUGGUAAAAAUGUGGUUUUUUCUUUUUUAAUUUAAAUCAACUUAAGUCCAGCUCCUUAACCACUCAGUGUUGUGCCAAUGAUCUAGGAUGUUGGCCCCUUUGGACACUGGCCAUGGUCUACACCACUCACAGCUGAGGCGCCCUUUGUUCUAGCCUGCAUGGUCCCUUGGUUCCAGCAGUUGUGCCAUGCUUGGGAUGGGAGGAGUUGGGAAGACAUGGAGUGUCUGUGUCUGGGGUCCGGCCUUUCCAUUCUGAAAUGGUGAUGAGUAGAAUGUGGAUCUCCCUUAGCCUUGGGACCCACUAACCUUUGUCUUCUUCCAAACCUCCGACCCACCUCUUUUUCUCUUUGCUCUUAAAAUUAUCCCUCUCCUCUUCCCUCUGAGGCCCCUGUCAUCCUCUCUGCAGGUAGCUUCAGUGUUUGCAAAAGACAGAAAAGACUUUGAUUGAAAGUGACUUCUGAUUUCUACUUUAAAAAAUCACCAAGGGAAGGAAAUGCUAAAGGCCUGACUCCUGCUCUGAAAUGAGAAAAAAGGGAAAAUAUAGGGACAUAAAUACAAGUUAGUAUUUUACUCAGUUAUCUUGCUAUAGCCUCUCAAAUUGCCUCCUGUCUCCUGGUACUCUGUCUCAGGAGUAAGCCUUGUGCCUUACAGCAGUAGGCUCUGCACAUAAAAGGAGAUGGCUGUUUUGUUUGUUUUAACAUAAACAGAUUGUUAUACCUAUUGAAUCUCCAAGUUCCCACAACUAUAUUGAUAUGUGGCAAUGCAGUUUCACAACCAGACAGUUCAAUAAACGGUGUCCAGGUUGAAGGGUCAACUAUGUACUUAAAAUUCAACCCUUUUCAAUGGCCUGGGGAGGAGAUGGGAAGGAUGGGAGAGGGUACAAUUACUUGGAAUGCUGAAAAGAAUGAUAAGGUGAGACUCCCUCUCUGCAAGGAGUCUAGAGCUGUUUCUAAAUCUGUUUUGGUUUUGGAUGUGUUGGUGAAUAUGAGUGCAAGCUCUCAGAAGACAUGGCUGAUAAAGUUGCAAGUGUAGAAUUAGAGGUGAAAUUGAUGAGUUGGGUGCUUGAGUUUCUAAGUAGAAGAAUCUGGUGGAAUUCUACCAGAAGAUGAGGAACAUGGUUUAAAGCUCAUCCUUUAGUGAUCUUUGUUUUUGUCCUGAUUUUAUUCCCUUCCUGCUUUACUCUUUGUAAAGAUGUUCCCCCUUAAGAUAUAGGGAAAUGUUCUAUAAGGUAAUAAAGCUAUAUUAAGGCGAACAAAAAGUAAAUGAAUGGAGACUUUUGCUGGAGUUUGAAAAGUUAGCUAUUUUAUAUGUAUGUUUUCUUUGUCUAGUAAAAAUGUACGACUAUUGUUUUAUGGAAUUCCAAUCAGAGACUGUGGGAGACUUUCUUUACUUUGCUAAGCCUUAAUAAUUCACUUACUCUUUUUAUAAGGCAGUGAGAAACAUUCAUUGGUCAAAUGGUUUGUUCAACAAUGUUCUUUCUAUUUUAUUCACAUAGCAUUAACUAAUAAUCUUUCUAUUUUAUUCAUGGUACCAUUGACAUCAUCAACACUUUAUUGAGUGUAACUGGAUUUAUUAUAAUUAAUCACAAUAAACUGCA
rnacentral:lncRNA from 1 species